AGCGAACGCUGGCGGCAGGCUUAACACAUGCAAGUCGAACGGUAAGGCCCUUCGGGGUACACGAGUGGCGAACGGGUGAGUAACACGUGGGUGAUCUGCCCCGCACUUCGGGAUAAGCCUGGGAAACUGGGUCUAAUACCGGAUAGGACCACUGCCUGCAUGGGUGGUGGUGGAAAGCUUUUGCGGUGUGGGAUGGGCCCGCGGCCUAUCAGCUUGUUGGUGGGGUGAUGGCCUACCAAGGCGACGACGGGUAGCCGGCCUGAGAGGGUGACCGGCCACACUGGGACUGAGAUACGGCCCAGACUCCUACGGGAGGCAGCAGUGGGGAAUAUUGCACAAUGGGCGCAAGCCUGAUGCAGCGACGCCGCGUGAGGGAUGACGGCCUUCGGGUUGUAAACCUCUUUCAGCACCGACGAAGCGCAAGUGACGGUAGGUGCAGAAGAAGGACCGGCCAACUACGUGCCAGCAGCCGCAGUAA
rnacentral:rRNA from 1 species